rnacentral:rRNA from 1 species
UACGUGGGGAGGCAAGCGUUGUCCGGAAUCAUUGGGCGUAAAGCGCGUGUAGGCGGCCAGAAAAGUCCGCUGUGAAAACUCGAGGCUCAACUUCGAGCUGUCGGUGGAAACUUUCUGGCUAGAGUCCGGAAGAGGAGAAUGGAAUUCCUGGUGUAGCGGUGAAAUGCGCAGAUAUCAGGAGGAACACCGAUUGCGAAGGCAGCUCGCUGGGACGUUACUGACGCUGAGACGCGAAAGCGUGGGGAGCAAACAGG